CAUCGAUGAAGAACGCAGCGAAAUGCGAUAAGUAAUGUGAAUUGCAGAAUUCAGUGAAUCAUCGAAUCUUUGAACGCACAUUGCGCCCGCCAGUAUUCUGGCGGGCAUGCCUGUUCGAGCGUCAUUUCAACCCUCAAGCCCUUGCUUGGUGUUGGG
rnacentral:rRNA from 1 species